GGAUGGAAGAUUUUGUAGGAGUGAUUUGGGUAGGAUGUGAUCUAAAUGAAAGCUUUAUCUUCCUGUCUGAGUAGUUAACCUGAGAAAUGUUUUUUAGUUAAGAGUGUUGCAAGCACAUUAUAUGUCCCUUAAUUUGGAUGCUCUCUUUCUCUUUGUUUGUAAGAGUUAUGGGGUAUAUUUCCAUUUCUGUUGCUCAAUUACCAUGAGUUAUGAGAAAUGUUUUUUUAUCUUUGUUGUUCUACUUCUCCCUCAAGAGGCCAC
rnacentral:misc_RNA from 1 species